rnacentral:rRNA from 1 species
UACGAAGGGGGCUAGCGUUGUUCGGAUUUACUGGGCGUAAAGCGCACGUAGGCGGAUCGUUAAGUCGGGGGUGAAAUCCUGGAGCUCAACUCCAGAACUGCCUUCGAUACUGGCGAUCUUGAGUCCGGAAGAGGUGAGUGGACUCCUAGUGUAGAGGUGGAAUUCGUAGAUAUUAGGAAGAACACCAGUGGCGAAGGCGGCUCACUGGUCCGGUACUGACGCUGAGGUGCGAAAGCGUGGGGAGCAAACAGG